rnacentral:rRNA from 1 species
UACGUAGGGGGCGAGCGUUGUCCGGAAUCAUUGGGCGUAAAGCGCGUGUAGGCGGCCCGGUAAGUCCGCUGUGAAAGUCCAGGGCUCACCCCUGGGAUGCCGGUGGAUACUGUCGGGCUCGAGUCCGGAAGAGGCGAGUGGAAUUCCUGGUGUAGCGGUGAAAUGCGCAGAUAUCAGGAGGAACACCAAUGGCGAAGGCAGCUCGCUGGGACGUGACUGACGCUGAGACGCGAAAGCGUGGGGAGCAAACAGG